rnacentral:rRNA from 1 species
CGAGUGAUAAGAUCCGUAGUCGAAAGGGAAACAGCCCAGACCACCAGUUAAGGUCCCCAAAUAUAUGUUAAGUGGAAAAGGAUGUGGGGUUGCUUAGACAACCAGGAUGUUGGCUUAGAAGCAGCCACCAUUGAAAGAGUGCGUAAUAGCUCACUGGUCGAGUGACCCCGCGCCGAAAAUGUACCGGGGCUAAACAUAUUACCGAAACUGUGGAUGAACCUCUUUAGAGGUUCGUGGUAGGAGAGCGUUCUAAGGGCGGUGAAGUCAGACCGGAAGGACUGGUGGAGCGCUUAGAAGUGAGAAUGCCGGUAUGAGUAGCGAAAGAAGGGUGAGAAUCCCUUCCACCGAAUAUCUAAGGUUUCCUGAGGAAGGCUCGUCCGCUCAGGGUUAGUCGGGACCUAAGCCGAGGCCGAUAGGCGUAGGCGAUGGACAACAGGUAGAGAUUCCUGUACCAGUGCUAAUUGUUUAACCGAUGGGGUGACACAGAAGGAUAGGGAAUCGCACGAAUGGAAAUGUGCGUCCAAGCAGUGAGUGUGAGAAGUAGGCAAAUCCGCUUCUCGCGAAGCAUGAGCUGUGAUGGGGAAGGAAAUUAAGUACGGAAGUUCCUGAUUUCACGCUGUCAAGAAAAGCCUCUAGGAAGAGUAGUACUGCCCGUACCGCAAACCGACACAGGUAGAUGAGGAGAGAAUCCUAAGGUGAGCGAGAGAACUCUCGUUAAGGAACUCGGCAAAAUGACCCCGUAACUUCGGGAGAAGGGGUGCUCUAUUAGGGUGCAAGCCCGAGAGAGCCGCAGUGAAUAGGCCCAGGCGACUGUUUAGCAAAAACACAGGUCUCUGCAAAACCGUAAGGUGACGUAUAGGGGCUGACGCCUGCCCGGUGCUGGAAGGUUAAGAGGAGUGCUUAGCUUCGGCGAAGGUACGAAUUGAAGCCCCAGUAAACGGCGGCCGUAACUAUAACGGUCCUAAGGUAGCGAAAUUCCUUGUCGGGUAAGUUCCGACCCGCACGAAAGGCGCAACGAUCUGGGCACUGUCUCAACGAGAGACUCGGUGAAAUUAUAGUACCUGUGAAGAUGCAGGUUACCCGCGACAGGACGGAAAGACCCCGUGGAGCUUUACUGCAACCUGAUAUGGAAUGUUUGUACCGCUUGUACAGGAUAGGUAGGAGCCGAAGAGACGUGUGCGCUAGCAUACGAGGAGGCAAUGGUGGGAUACUACCCUGGCUGUAUGACCAUUCUAACCCGCCACGCUUAGCGCGUGGGGAGACAGUGUCAGGUGGGCAGUUUGACUGGGGCGGUCGCCUCCUAAAGAGUAACGGAGGCGCCCAAAGGUUCCCUCAGAAUGGAUGGAAAUCAUUCGCAGAGUGUAAAGGCACAAGGGAGCUUGACUGCGAGACUGACAAGUCGAGCAGGGACGAAAGUCGGGCUUAGUGAUCCGGUGGUUCCGCAUGGAAGGGCCAUCGCUCAACGGAUAAAAGCUACCCCGGGGAUAACAGGCUUAUCUCCCCCAAGAGUCCACAUCGACGGGGAGGUUUGGCACCUCGAUGUCGGCUCGUCGCAUCCUGGGGCUGUAGUCGGUCCCAAGGGUUGGGCUGUUCGCCCAUUAAAGCGGCACGCGAGCUGGGUUCAGAACGUCGUGAGACAGUUCGGUCCCUAUCCGUCGCGGGCGCAGGAAAUUUGAGAGGAGCUGUCCUUAGUACGAGAGGACCGGGAUGGACACACCGCUGGUGUACCAGUUGUUCCGCCAGGAGCAUCGCUGGGUAGCUAUGUGUGGCAGGGAUAAACGCUGAAAGCAUCUAAGCGUGAAGCCCCCCUCAAGAUGAGAUUUCCCAUUUCUUCGGAAAGUAAGAUCCCUGAAAGAUGAUCAGGUAGAUAGGUUUGGAGUGGAAGUGUAGCGAUACAUGGAGCGGACAAAUACUAAUCGAUCGAGGACUUAACCAA